AACAAACGCUGGCGGCGUGCCUAACACAUGCAAGUCGUACGAGAAAGUCGGCUUCGGCCGAUGAGUACAGUGGCGCACGGGUGAGUAGCGCGUGGGUAAUCUGCCCCUCGGUCAGGAAUAACCCGCCGAAAGGCGGGCUAAUACCCGAUAACACUGACGCUCUGCGGAGUGUCUUUCAAAGAAGGCCUCUGUUUACAAGCUUUCGCCGGAGGAUGAGCCCGCGUACCAUUAGCUUGUUGGUAGGGUAACGGCCUACCAAGGCGACGAUGGUUAGCUGGUCUGAGAGGAUGAUCAGCCACACUGGAACUGACACACGGUCCAGACUCCUACGGGAGGCUG
rnacentral:rRNA from 1 species